GAGAAGGUCCCGGGGGCACCGCGGUGCAAGGGGCACCGAGCAAAGCAGAGCAAAGCAGAGCAAAGCACCCACCGGGUGCCCCCUAAAAAAAAAUAUGUAAUAAUAUUAAAAAAAAAAAAAAAAAGUGGAUUUAGGGGAUUUGGGGCUCCGUUCCCCCCCCCCACCAGUGCCCAGCCCCAGCAGGGGCGGUGCCCCGCAGCCCCCUCCCCGGCCGCUCCCCGCCCUCGUUCUCCCCGCGCCGUUCCUGGGCUUUUGGCGCCCCCUCCGGACGGCGCCGCGCAGCGCCCCCAAAAUCCUCAACCGGCCCCUGCGCGCUGCUCCGCAGGGAAGGGGGGGGACGCAGGGACCGUGCAGGAUCCUCCCCCCACCCCAGCACCGCGGGGCUCAGCACCCAACAAAGCCCCAAACCCUUUGGCGGGGGCGCGCAAAGAGCCGCGCAGCGCUGUGCGCUGGGGAAGCUCCGCGUUGCGCGCCCCCCGCGCCGCCCCCUUUUGCGCGGCGCAGCGCGGAGUUGCGCGCCCGUUCGGCCCCGCCCCUUCGGCGGCCUCUCAGCCAAUCGCGUGCCCGCCAGCCCCCGGGGGCCGGGCUGCUAUUGGCGGAGCGCUGGCGGCCCGAAAAGGCCGCGCAGGGUAUUUAUUCCCGCGCAGCGGCGCGGGGCGCAGAAGCCGCGCUGCGGAGCCGCGCCGCGCACACCGCCGGGCAGCGCCCGGCCCCGCUCCUCCGCCUCGCGCAACUUGCAAAAAAGUUUUCCCUCUUCUUCUUCUUCUUCCCUUCCCCCUCUGCUCGAUUUUUUGGACGGGCAGGGAACGAGAAAAUCAUCAUCAUCAUCGUCAUAAUAAUAAAAAAAAAGCAACUUUUGCAAACUUUUUCCGGCUUUCUUCCCUCCUCUCCCCGGCCGGGCUGCACGCUGGUGGAGAUUUCGCCUCUCCUCGUUUUGAUCUUUUUACUUUUUAUUUUUUAAACCCUGUCCCCUUAGCCAGCUGGUUCUUUUUUUUAUUUUGA
rnacentral:lncRNA from 1 species